rnacentral:rRNA from 1 species
CCUUUGUACACACCGCCCGUCGCUACUACCGAUUGAAUGGCUUAGUGAGACCUCCGGAUCGGCGCCCAUCGAGCCGCGAGGCCCGAAGGAUGCUGAGAAGUUGGUCAAACUUGGUCAUUUAGAGG